CCAGGAUCAUGCACCUCCUGACUGGGUGAAUAUGGGAAAUGAGCAAGAGUGUUCUGGGAGGACAGUGGUGGGCGUCAGCUGGGGAGAAGGAGGAGGUCACAGGUUUAAGCUCCUCAGGGAGCUGCAGUGUAAGGUACAUCAUUCCCAAAACAGUGACCUCUGUGCCAGCCCAAAGUCCCAAGUGAGGUGCCAUGUCACUGGGGUCCUGCUGGUGGCUGAAUCCCUCUUCUCCGUCCGUGGCUGCUUGCACAGUAGCACAAUGCUGCUGUGGGCAAUGACCUGUCCAGUGCAGCACAGACAUGUCAGCACCAUCAGAGCUGGCUCAAGGGUCCUAAACAAGACUCGUGCCAUUGGAGCAGCUUCCCCCAGGAUGGGCUGCCAGGGCACGCUGCUGGUCCUGCUGAGCCCAUUGCUGACCAGCACCUACAGAUCCCUUUCUGCAGGGCUGCUCUGACUUUCUCUUAAUGCCCCAAUCAAUACUCAUGGAAAAUAAAUGUUUUGAAUAACAGGGUGUCA
rnacentral:lncRNA from 1 species